GACGAACGCUGGCGGCGUGCCUAAUACAUGCGAGUCGAACGCUUCUUUCCUCCCGAGUGCUUGCACUCAAUUGGAAAGAGGAGUGGCGGACGGGUGAGUAACACGUGGGUAACCUACCCAUCAGAGGGGGAUAACACUUGGAAACAGGUGCUAAUACCGCAUAACAGUUUAUGCCGCAUGGCAUAAGAGUGAAAGGCGCUUUCGGGUGUCGCUGAUGGAUGGACCCGCGGUGCAUUAGCUAGUUGGUGAGGUAACGGCUCACCAAGGCCACGAUGCAUAGCCGACCUGAGAGGGUGAUCGGCCACACUGGGACUGAGACACGGCCCAGACUCCUACGGGAGGCAGCAGUAGGGAAUCUUCGGCAAUGGACGAAAGUCUGACCGAGCAACGCCGCGUGAGUGAAGAAGGUUUUCGGAUCGUAAAACUCUGUUGUUAGAGAAGAACAAGGGCGUUAGUAACUGAACGUCCCCUGACGGUAUCUAACCAGAAAGACACGGCUAACUACGUG
rnacentral:rRNA from 1 species